GUGGAUGUAGUUUAAACAAAACGUUAGAUUGUGAUUCUGAAAAUGAAGGUUAAAAUCCUCUUAUUCACC
rnacentral:tRNA from 1 species